GGUUGAUCCUGCCAGUAGUCAUAUGCUUGUCCUAAAGAUUAAGCCAUGCAUGUCCAAGUAUAAACCUUUAUACGGUGAAACUGCGAAAGGCUCAUUAAAUCAGUUAUAAUUUACAUGAUGAUGACGAUUACAUGGAUAACCGUGGUAAUUCUAGAGCUAAUACAUGCGCGAGGGUUCUGUAAGGAACUGCAUUUAUUAGAUAAAACCAACGCAGAGGGUGUAAAAACUCACUGAAGUAUGGCGAGUCAUGAUAACUGAGCGGAUCGUAUGGCCGCGUGCCGACGACGCAUCA
rnacentral:rRNA from 1 species